UGAAGCUGAUUGAUGGGUACAUGGGGGAAUCAUUAUACUGUUUUCUAUGUGUUUAAAAAAUUUUUCUAUGUGUUUAAAAUUUUCCAUUAAAAUCAUUUUGAAAAGCCCUUCUAAAUCAUUUGAAAACUUAAGUAAUGUCAGGAAUUUCUUAGAGCUGAAUCAACCUUUAAAUAUUAAGAUCUUCAGUAGUUCAGAAUCAAAAUAUUAUAGGCAAUGUAAGAAAUGAGGAAGGCCCUUGAACAUGAGCCAGUGCUAGCAAAGUAGGUCCUGCUGAAUAAGAGCCAUCUCCCCUUCCACUCAGGUUUGUAUGGAAUAUAGUCCUUGAUCCAGCAACUCCACUUCUAGGAAUGUACCCUCAGGAAAUAAUUGGUCAUAUGUGCACACCUAUAUAUGAAUAAGGAUGUCCUAAGUGGAUUCAUAAUAGUAAAUCAAUUGAAACAAGGCAAUGAUGAACACUAAGGGGGCUUAAGAAGUCAUGGUGCUGUGGUUUAAAUGUAUCCCCCCAAAUUUUGUGUGUUGUAAAUUUAACCUUCAAAUUCCUAUGUCAAUGGUAUUUGGAGGUGGAGUCUUUGGGAGCUGUGAUAUUAUGAUAUAUAAUUUUUUCAUUUUCAUCCACAAUUCCUGGUUCAUAAACUCCCUCCUCAAAGCAGACCAAGAAAACUAGAAUUUCUCUUUCUGAAGGUGUGUUAUAAGUACUCUAAUUUUCCUCUACCUUUCUGUCUUUGAAAUGGCCAUAAAGAAAUUAUUUGAACUACCCUUGUCCAAUAGUAGAUCAUAAAAACUUCUUCAUUGUGGAGGAGUCCUCCAUACUCUAGAGGAAGGAAUGCUGCCCAGGAAUGGCCAACAACAAUUCUGAAGCAGACAAGUCUUGUUACAUUUCCCCCACUCAACCUGCUAGCAUCAGAUUUGUUCAAACACAUUCCUACACAGUUAUCAAUGCUUUGGUCAUUCCUAUGCAAUGAAGUAUCUAUAAAAACCCUAAAGAAUAGAGCUUAGAAAGAUUCCACAUAGCUGAACACAUGGAGUUUUCUGGUAUGGAGGCUGGUAUGCUUGGAAAGGAUAUGGAAAUACUAU
rnacentral:lncRNA from 1 species